GAUGAACGCUGGCGGCGUGCCUAAUACAUGCAAGUCGAGCGAACGGACGAGAAGCUUGUUUCUCUGAUGUUAGCGGCGGACGGGUGAGUAACACGUGGAUAACCUACCUAUAAGACUGGGAUAACUUCGGGAAACCGGAGCUAAGACCGUAUAAUAUUUUGAACCGCAUGGUUCAAAAGUGAAAGACGGUCUUGCUGUCACUUAUAGAUGGAUCCGCGCUGCUUUAGCUAGUUGGUAAGGUAACGGCUUACCAAGGCAACGAUGCAUAGCCGACCUGAGAGGGUGAUCGGCCACACUGGAACUGAGACACGGUCCAGACUCCUACGGGAGGCAGCAGUAGGGAAUCUUCCGCAAUGGGCGAAAGCCUGACGGAGCAACGCCGCGUGAGUGAUGAAGGUCUUCGGAUCGUAAAACUCUGUUAUUAGGGAAGAACAUAUGUGUAAGUAACUGUGCACAUCUUGACGGUACCUAAUCAGAAAGCCACGGCUAACUACGUG
rnacentral:rRNA from 1 species